UACGCAGGGAGCAAGCGUUGUUCGGAUUUACUGGGCGUAAAGGGCGCGUAGGCGGCGCGGUAAGUCACUUGUGAAAUCUCUGAGCUUAACUCAGAACGGCCAAGUGAUACUGCAGUGCUAGAGUGCAGAAGGGGCAAUCGGAAUUCUUGGUGUAGCGGUGAAAUGCGUAGAUAUCAAGAGGAACACCUGAGGUGAAGACGGGUUGCUGGGCUGACACUGACGCUGAGGCGCGAAAGCCAGGGGAGCAAACGGG
rnacentral:rRNA from 1 species